rnacentral:rRNA from 1 species
GAUGAACGCUGGCGGCGUGCCUAAUACAUGCAAGUCGAGCGAACGGACGCGGCUCUUGCUUCUCUGAUGUUAGCGGAGGACGGGUGAGUAACACGUGGAUAACCUACCUAUAAGAGUGGUAUAAUUUCGGGAAACCGGAUCUAAUACCGUAUGAUCUUUUGAACCGCAUGGUUGAAUAGUGAAAGACGGUCGUGCUGUCACUUAUAGCGGGAUCCCCGCUGCAUUAGCUAGUUGGUAAGGUAACGGCUUACCAAGGCAACGAUGCAUAGCCGACCUGAGAGGGUGAUCGCCCACCCGGGAACUGAGCCACGGACCAGAGGCCUACGGGAGGCCGCAGUAGGGAAUCUUCCGCAGUGGGCGAAAGCCUGACGGAGCAACGCCGCGUGAGUGAUGAAGGUCUUCGGAUCGUAAAACUCUGUUAUUAGGGAAGAACAUAUGUGUAAGUAACUGUGCACAUCUUGACGGUACCUAAUCAGAAAGCCACGGCUAACUACGUG